CGUCCGACUCCCACAAACUUACCUGAGCCCCUUGCAGUGCCCAGUUCCCUGAGGCAGAAGGGGAAUCCAACACACCAUGGAAAUGGGUCUGAUCUCUGCUCCCUUCUAGAUGAGGUGUUUGGGAAGGCUUCUCCAUUAGCUUGGCUGCAUAAAGUGUUGGUCCUAUCUGAGCCCCUCUCAGGUGUGUCUGCAGCAAGGACUUCUCCAGCUCCUUUGCUGAUUCCUGCACAGAAGCCUGGCUCCCAUGGCAGGGGUGAGUAGUGUGUCCCUGAUGACCCCACCGGCUGAGCCCUGCUCUUGUGGGAUCCAUUCCUGGGAAAUGGAACUCUGUUGCUCUAAGGUCCUCCGAGGGGAAAGAACAAAGGCAAAGGACACCAGAAACCCCAUGAGACAUCCAAAAAUAUGAGGCAAAUGCUGAAGGAAAUGCAGCAGGCAGGAGGACAAGAUGCAGCCGGCACCACAACACAUGCUGAAAACAUCGGGAAGAGCACAAGAGUUUUCUGCUGGGUAACACCGUGUUUGAAGAAGUUGAUGGCCAUUGUGGCUGGUGCAGCACUUUGCCUGAUGAUGUGCUGUGCCAUAAUCUGGUAUUGCUGGAAGAGAAAACGGCAUCACAUUGAAGAAAAACUGAAAGCUGCUGGCUGGACACGAGAUCUCUACUGCUGGAACAGCAACAGCAGCAUCUCUGACUCGGACGAGUUUUCAUUUUAGCACCACCAAGCUCUACGGUGACUUGAGGCCCCCUCCUUCCAGUACCGAAGGCGAAAGCCCACUGGAAAGGCUGUGGGAAGUGCUCAAGUGAAUAAUGACUGAGAGCUUCCAAAAUCUGCUUCCAAAUUUUCAAAGUAGUUUUAGAAUCCUGAAAUGCAACCCUAUUUUCUAUUUGCUUUUCUUUUUUAGAAAUAUUUAGAAAUAUUUUUUUGUAGAAACAAAUCCCCCAGUGUUUCUUCCCCACUUCCACAAUAUGUCUAUGUUUUUGAAAGUAGUUUUACAGUUCUGGAAAGUUUUUUUGCACUAAUACAAUAAAAAUAAAAUAAAAUGGCA